GCGCUCUCUGGCUUCCUCCGUCCUUUUCUACGGAGACUGGCUUGUUUCUUUAGGUCUUAAGAUUCUGAACACGACAUCAAGAAUUUGACUUUCCAUUUAUACUCUCAACCCACAUUUAUUCUUCAAUAUCAGUUGCUGCCAUCAAACGUGCUGGUCCCUGCGAAUGCAGCCGUAACUCCACCCGAAAGUUGUUCAGAGUCUGAACUGGAUGGGAAACACAGGCACAUAGGUUUUGGAGGAGAGAGAGAAUAAAAAGAGAAGAGGAGAGAGUGGGGAAAGGAUGCAUGGGCUAUUGUUUAUUUGUUUUUUUGUUUUUUUCACAAAAGAGAUAAAGAGGGUGUAUAAAAGAAGUAGAGUCCUGGGUUGACUAAGAUGGAGCUCAUUAAUAUGUUAAUCACAGGCCAAUGCCUCCCUCAUCCAACCAACUGGAAAAAAGGCAGCACAUGGUGGCAUAGAUAACGCAAGUCAAAGGUAACUGGAGUCAGCAUCAACCAAAGAACUGUACAGACAACUCGAAGGUUUCUGCCUUUGCACAGACUCAUCCCCUCUCAGCCAGUCCACAAACGAACAGAGAAGUGCUGAUCAUAACAAACUCAAUUUGGUUACACCGAUAGAUCCAUUGGCUCUCUCAGCAUGCUUAGUUAGACAGGACACUAUGUUUCUGUUUAUCCUAAAAGCACACUCAGAUCCUUCUCAGGCCCCAUUUCUCCCCACCUCCAACCCCCUCACUGUGACCAUCAUACGUUUGGCAUCUUCACAGGACAGGGACUUCAAGUUUCUAAGUCAGACUAAAGGGGCAGAAGAGGUUAUGGCAUGAGGUCAGAGAGGUGGAGCAGCUCCUUGGAGCCUUGGAGACGCAGGCA
rnacentral:lncRNA from 1 species